rnacentral:rRNA from 1 species
UACGAAGGAUCCAAGCGUUAUCCGGAUUUAUUGGGUUUAAAGGGUGCGUAGGCGGCUUAUUAAGUCAGUGGUGAAAGCCUGCAGCUUAACUGCAGAACUGCCAUUGAUACUGAUGAGCUUGAGUAUAGUUGAGGUGGGCGGAAUGUGUCAUGUAGCGGUGAAAUGCUUAGAUAUGACACAGAACACCGAUUGCGAAGGCAGCUCGCUAAACUAUAAACUGACG